rnacentral:rRNA from 1 species
UACGGAGGGGGCUAGCGUUGUUCGGAAUUACUGGGCGUAAAGCGCACGUAGGCGGCUUUGUAAGUUAGAGGUGAAAGCCCGGAGCUCAACUUCGGAAUUGCCUUUAAGACUGCAUCGCUUGAAUCAUGGAGAGGUCAGUGGAAUUCCGAGUGUAGAGGUGAAAUUCGUAGAUAUUCGGAAAAACACCAGUGGCGAAGGCGACCACCUGGACUGAUACUGACACUGAGGUGCGAAAGCGUGGGGAGCAAACAGG